AGAAUGGCACUAGACAGAAAAAAAAAACAAGGAAAGUGUUUAGAAAGUGAUCUAAAGCUUCUACCCCACUAGCAGCAAGGGUGGUUUCAAGGACCACUGGGUAAAUUUCUCUACUUCUCCAUUUAGGAGAGUUAUUUCCCCCCUCUUCUAGUGUUCUCCUCUCAUCCUUGUGCGACUCCUUCCUCUUCCCUAUACAGCUCCACACAACCCGAACCCCCUUCCACCCUCUAUUAAUCAAAUCAAAUGGACAUCAAUGGUGACCUGGCUUUAGAUACUAAAAAAACCAGGACAUGGAUGACUG
rnacentral:lncRNA from 1 species